rnacentral:rRNA from 1 species
AUUGAACGCUGGCGGCAGGCCUAACACAUGCAAGUCGAGCGGAGCGGCGGACGGGUGAGUACUGCCUAGGAAUCUGCCUGGUGGUGGGGGAUCACGUCCGGGGACGGGCGCUUAUAACGCAUGCUAGCAAGUGAGCCUCGGUCGGAUGAGCUAGUUGGUGGGGUAAAGGCAUACCAAGGCGACGAUCCGUAACUGGGCUGAGAGGAUGAUCAGUCACACUGGAACUGAGACACGGUCCAGACUCCUACGGGAGGCAGCAGUGGGGAAUAUUGGACAAUGGGCGAAAGCCUGAUCCAGCCAUGCCGCGUGUGUGAAGAAGGUCUUCGGAUUGUAAAGCACUUUAAGUUGGGAGGCGUUACCAACAGAAUAAGCACCGGCUAACUUCGUGCCAGCAGCCGCGGUAAUUC